rnacentral:rRNA from 1 species
AUUGAACGCUGGCGGCAGGCCUAACACAUGCAAGUCGAACGAGUGGCGGACGGGUGAGUAAUGUCUGGGAAACUGCCUGAUGGAGGGGGAUCACUACUGGAAACGGUAGCUAAUACCGCAUACCAUCGGAUGUGCCCAGAUGGGACUAGCUAGUAGGUGGGGUAAAGGCUCACCUUGGCGACGAUCCCUAGCUGGUCUGCGAAGAUGACCAGGCACACGGGAACUGAGGCGCGUUCCAGAAUCCUGCGAGAGGCAGCAGGGGGGAAUAUUGCACAAUGGGCGCAGGCCUGAUGCGGCCAUGCCGGGUGUAAGAAGAAGGCCUUGGGGUUGUAAAGUACUUUCAGCGGGGAGGCGUUACCCGCAGAAGAAGCACCGGCUAACUCCGUGCCAGCAGCCGCGGUAAUAC